AGUAAUAUGCCUGAAUUUUAAGGAAUAUUUUGAUAGAAUAUUUAUGUAAUUUAUUGUUACUAUUACUA
rnacentral:tRNA from 1 species